rnacentral:tRNA from 1 species
CACUAGGAAGCUAAACAGGAACUAGCAUUAGCCUUUUAAGCUAAAGAUUGGUGACUUCCAACCACCCCUAGUGA